rnacentral:rRNA from 1 species
AGUGAACGCUGGCGGUAGGCCUAACACAUGCAAGUCGAACGGCAGCACAGUAAGAGCUUGCUCUUACGGGUGGCGAGUGGCGGACGGGUGAGGAAUACAUCGGAAUCUACUUUUUCGUGGGGGAUAACGUAGGGAAACUUACGCUAAUACCGCAUACGACCUACGGGGGAAAGCAGGGGAUCUUCGGACCUUGCGCGAUUGAAUGAGCCGAUGUCGGAUUAGCUAGUUGGCGGGGUAAAGGCCCACCAAGUCGACGAUCCGUAGCUGGUCUGAGAGGAGGAUCAGCCACACGGGAAGUGAGACACGGUCCAGACUCCUACGGGAGGCAGCAGUCGGGAAUAUUAGACAAUGGGCGGAAGCCUGAUCCAGCCAUACCGCGUGGGUGAAGAAGGCCUUCGGGUUGUAAAGACCUUUUGUUGGGAAAGAAAAGCAGCAGGUUAAUACCCCGCUGUUCUGACGGUACCCAAAGAAUAAGCACCGGCUAACUUCGUG